UAUUAAAAUAUGACAUUCAAUAAUAUAAUAAUAGAAAUAUAAAAUACUUUACAAAUUUGAAAUAUUAUUUAAUUCUAUUUUAUAAUCAUACAAUUUUUGUUACUAAAGAAGAUUUUCAAAAUCCUAUUCAAUCUUUUUAAAAUUUUUUAAAAAUAAUUGUAAUACCAAUUGUUUCCAUUUGAUAUUUGCAAAUUUUAGAAAUUCUGUUUAGUUUUAUGUAUUCUUUGUAUUAAAACUUUUUUAUACAAGUUGAUUUAAUAUAUCUUAACCAAAAGAAAUAAAUGAAAAGCUAUCUAAGAUUAUAAUUUUAAGUAUAUAUAUAUAUAUUCUUAAAUAUAAUUUAAAAUAAAUUAAAUUGGUUAUUUUAUCUUAAUUUUAUGUUUAACUUAAUCAAUUUUUAUAUAAAAUAUUGGUAUAAAAUAAUAAAUUUAAAAUAUUAAGAAAAAUAUUUUUAAAUAUAACUUAAAUUAAAAAAAUUAUUUCUAAACAUGUUGCAGGAAAGUAUAUACUCAUAACCCAACCAUUCAUGCAAAUAUACCAAAACAUUACGAUAAUUUUUCGUUUCAACUAAGAACAAUAUUAUUCAUCUUUCGAUUUCAAAAACGUUGAAUUGUCGGGUUUUGAGGUCACUCCAAUCCCUGAUAAUUUCAUGUCAUAACACAAAUUGUUUUGGCAAUCCCUCAUUUUGGAUAACUUUUAGGUAUUUAGCCAUAAUAUUUGACCUCUCCCCUUCUUCUUGCACAACCUUCUUCCUUUUUCUGCAGCCAACUUCUUGCUUUCCAUCCUUCAUGCCAUUACUCAACUCUUGUGUCAUCACCACCAGCACAAUAAUUUCUGGUUUUCCUGAUAGAUUUUGGAGGUCAUUUUUGCGCAUCAGGUUUUUUCGGAUUUCCCCCAAAGAACAAGGCUCAUCAAAACUCAUCCAAAAACACAUGACCCUUAGGAAACCAACACUUUUGAGUCUUGAAAUCUUUAAACGCUCAUGCCAUUAAAUUGUUAGGCUUAACAUUCAGGUCAAGACUGUUUCUUUCACGCUCUUUAUCUUCAUAAUCGAAUAAUACCAAUCCUUUUCCUUUGUUCAGGCCUUGUGUAAUAAUCAAAACAGGCUCCAAACACAAAAUAGAGUGCAGUGCAAUCGGGUAUAACUCCGCCUCUUUCACUGAGAAAUUCACAUGAUUCACUUUAAUAGCUUUAUCAUCUCUUGUAUUAGAAGCAGAUAUCUCCUCAUUUCCUUGAGAACUUCCUUGCGAUUUUGGGUCUCCCUAUGUAAGGGUACAAGUUCCCCAACUUGUGCUUCUUCCAUAACUCCAUAGAGUGGAUCAUACAUAUUCAAAUCCUCAGUCUCUUUGUCCAAUCCUUCCUUAACUUUGUUCCUUAUUUCUUGAACUUCCUUUUAUCUCUUCUUGACCAGUAAGGGACAUAUGCUUUUUCGUGAUUCAACCGUUGAAAAGAGAAAAAACGUUUCUAAUUUUUUUUUCUUCAUAAUUACAAUGGAUAAUAGCAAUGUUACCCCCUAAGCAAGUUCAUGGCUUUGGACAUCUGCAAAGGAUUAACGACAUUGAAGAGAACCUGAACCCGAACAAAAUCUUGAAUAAUCAGUUUAGAAGGGUCUAAAGCUACCAUUUUCACUUUACUAAUCAGAUCUCCCAAAGCAGUUAACGUUUCCAUAGUGUAGUAGUUAACCUGAAUGUUACUUAUCCGCACCUACAAUGGUAUGAACUGAAGAUAAUCUUCUAGUGGAUUCUAUGCCCAUAUAUGUCGAGUACUAGAGUCCAUUCGUUGAAGAUAUGAACCUCUUUCUCAAGCACAUCCAGAAAGUCGUGCUUAUUUUUAAAAAUAAAUUGAAACUUUUCUCAAGAAGCACUCCAUGAAUUCUUUCUUUUUUUGCCAUUUUGUGGUAUAUUAAGGAUGAGCCUUGACAUCCGCUGACACUCCGGGUUCAGGGCCCUACCCAUAAGGCUGAGUUAGUUAUCUUCCGACAAAUUGAAUCCCUAGAGAUCUGGUACGGUAAAGAGCACAUCGUCCUCUUGAGCUAAUGUCAUUAAGGCUAUGUCCAUAUAUAGUCACAUACAUUACUUUCAAAAGCUUAAUUCUCAAGAAAUGAAUUAAGAUUACACUGUCAACUACCCAAAUUUCAAUAAGUGAAGAACAUGUAGUUACAAACACUAAAAUGUAUUUGUAACUACAUCAUCACUAAUGCUACCCUAAAGGAUCGAACCACCUUCACUCACUGAAAAGUUAAGAAGACAGUAAAAACAUGAUUUGACCACCUUCACUCACUUAAAAAGUUUUAAAAACACACUCCAAUGACAGAAAAAUAAAAUUCACAAAGGGUUACUAGAGAGCAUUUUCUCGGCUCCACACUCAUCAAUUCUUUAUGAAUUUUUCAAAACUAUUAUAUUUGUAUUUAGAUAAACUGAAUUGUUUAAUUAUAUUUAAUUUUUUACCAAUUGAAAAGGCACAAGCGCUAGAUAAUCUCUUAUUUUGACAAUUUCUCAACAGAGAAUGGAUUCUUCUUUUUUUUCUAUAUGUACUCUCUCUCACUUUUUAUUUUCCCUUUUUUUUUAUUAAUAAAUGUUGUUGAGAAAUUCUUGCAAAUACAAUCACUAAUAAUACCCUAAAGGAUCUAGAUAAUAUACAUACUGGCUAGAGAUGGUGACUUUGUGGCCUAAACCUAUCAAGCUCGGAGGAAUAACUGAAACUAAGCCAAUUCAAACUACAACAGCUUCUCAUUCCAAGCUUCCCAUUAAAGUAAAGAAAAUGGCUUCAUACUCAACUUUGUACUCCAAGGAUGAAUCCACUACAGAUAAGCCGCUCAAGGUGGCUUUUGCUAAUGCCUCAGCAUCACCUUUAGGCGAACGAGAAACACAUGAGAAAAGACGAUAUCGACAAAGGCAAGAGAGAUUUGCUGGAUAUCUCUCACGAUACCAUAGAUCUCUGAGUUCUGCAUGUUACGAGUGUUGAGUUGUUAGUCAGCAUCUGAAAAUCUGAGAUCCCCAUAGCUACUGUAGUGAUGAUUCCCAAUCGGAGAGCUAGGGCUUCUGCGAUCAGUGGGCUGGUGACAAAGUCUUGGGUCAUCGCUCCUCUGUGCUUGCAAGUUCCUGUUGAAUCCCUGAAGAUCCAGGCGAGACCUGCUCUGUUCAAUAGCUUGUUCCAGGCGGCGUCCGUUUUACAUGUCAUUCUCGUGUUCUAGUCGGGUUGGAGCUGAAGCCUUUUAGCUACUUCCUCGGGAAAGAAGGUCUGAUCCAUGAAGAUUAGCGUGUUGCGAGAAGUCCAAAGAGUCCAACAAAUCCAGGGGAGGAUGUAUUCAUGAUGGUGGCAAGCAUACAACUUUCCUAAAUGCCUCAACCUUUUAAAUUACAAUAAUAAAUGAAAGUGUCCAUAGCAAAAACAUCAAAAAAUAUCAUUUUUUUUGUUUUAUAAAUUCAUAACCAAAUUUCAAUUUAAUGUUUCUAAUCCAGUCUUUCAUGCACAGAUAACCAAUAUUACAUCAUCUUUUAUUUAUCUUAUUUUUAUAGUACUAACAAUUAUUUAUAAUUUAUUUUUAUCUGGUUAUCUAUUCUAUUAAAAGGGAAGCAAUCUUAAUAAAUCUACUUAUAAAGAUUGUUUGGACUCUUUCAUUUUUUAGUCCAACCUAUUAUAUAUAGGUAUAACUAAAUCUUAUAACCAACCUAUUUUAUAGCAACCAAAUAAAAAUCUCCUACAUUUAAAUAAAACAUAUUACUGUUUAUUGACUUUAAAUAUUAUAAUCUAAACUGUCGACCUAUAGCCUUUUAAAUAUGUACGUAGGUUUUGUAUGAACCAUUGUUCUAUUAGUAAUGUUUAUAUAAUAUGUUUGUAUCGAAUGAUGGUAUGAAAUUAUUAUAAACCAACAUUAUACCUCAUAUAACAAGAAUUUAAUGAAC